rnacentral:rRNA from 1 species
GAGUUUGAUCGUGGCUCAGAUUGAACGCUGGCGGCAUGCCUUACACAUGCAAGUCGAACGGCAGCAUGAUCUAGCUUGCUAGAUUGAUGGCGAGUGGCGAACGGGUGAGUAAUACAUCGGAACGUGCCCUGUAGUGGGGGAUAACUAGUCGAAAGAUUAGCUAAUACCGCAUACGACCUGAGGGUGAAAGUGGGGGACCGCAAGGCCUCAUGCUAUAGGAGCGGCCGAUGUCUGAUUAGCUAGUUGGUGGGGUAAAGGCCCACCAAGGCGACGAUCAGUAGCUGGUCUGAGAGGACGAUCAGCCACACUGGGACUGAGACACGGCCCAGACUCCUACGGGAGGCAGCAGUGGGGAAUUUUGGCAAUGGGCGAAAGCCUGAUCCAGCAAUGCCGCGUGUGUGAAGAAGGCCU